GUGUCUACGUGGACGAAGUCAUCCAUCAGGUGUGUGUCUACGUGGACGAAGUCGUCCAUCAGGUGUGUGUCUACGUGGACGAAGUCGUCCAUCAGGUGUGUGUCUACGUGGACGAAGUCGUCCAUCAGGGGUGUGUUUACGUGGACGAAGUCUUCCAUCAGGUGUGUGUCUACAUG